GAUGAAGAACGCAGCGAAAUGCGAUAAGUAAUGUGAAUUGCAGAAUUCAGUGAAUCAUCGAAUCUUUGAACGCACAUUGCGCCCGCUGGUAUUCCGGCGGGCAUGCCUGUUCGAGCGUCAUUUCAACCCUCAAGCUCUCCGGAGUUUGGUGUUGGGGCGCCUGGGGCUUUUCGACCUCAGGGCCCUCAAGUCCAUCGGCGGGACCGCCAGGACACUGAGCGCAGUAGUAUUAUUUCGCUCGGUAGGAUCUUCCACGGCGGGUCGAUCUGGCCGCUAAACCCCCCAAUUCUCACCAAAGGUUGACCUCGGAUCAGGUAGGAAUACCCGCUGAACUUAAGCAUAUCAAUAAGCGGAGAA
rnacentral:misc_RNA from 1 species